GACGAACGCUGGCGGCGUGCUUAACACAUGCAAGUCGAACGGGCCUUGUCCCCUUUUUUUUUGGGGGUGGGGUUAGUGGCGAACGGGUGAGUAACACGUGAGUAACCUGCCCCUCACUUCUGGAUAACCGCUUGAAAGGGUGGCUAAUACGGGGUGUUCUGGCCUGCUCGCAUGGGUGGGUUUGGAAAGAUUCGACCGGUUUGGUUGUUUUGGUGGGGGAUGGGCUCGCGGCCUAUCAGCUUGUUGGUGGGGUGAUGGCCUGCCAAGGCUUUGACGGGUAGCCGGCCUGAGAGGGUGGGCGGUCACACUGGGACCGAGACACGGCCCAGACUCCUACGGGAGGCAGCAGUGGGGAAUAUUGCACAAUGGGCGCAAGCCGGAUGCAGCGACGCCGCGUGAGGGAUGGAGGCCUUCGGGUUGUGAACCUCUUUCGCCAGUGAAGAAGGUCCUGCUCUUUGUGGUGGGGUUGACGGUAGCGGGGUUAAUGAAGCGCCGGCUAACUACGUG
rnacentral:rRNA from 1 species